CACGUAGGGCGCAAGCGUUGUCCGGAAUUAUUGGGCGUAAAGAGCUCGUAGGCGGUCUGUUGCGUCCGCUGUGAAAACUCGGGGCUUAACCCCGAGCCUGCAGUGGAUACGGGCAGACUAGAGGUAGGUAGGGGAGAAUGGAAUCCCCGGUGUAGCGGUGAAAUGCGCAGAUAUCGGGAGGAACACCGGUGGCGAAAGCGGCUCACUGGACCAUAACUGACGCUGAUGCACGAAAGCUAGGGGAGCAAACAGG
rnacentral:rRNA from 1 species